UUUUUUCCAUUCCCGCUCGGGUUACCAAAUACCCCCAAUCUCUUGAACCAAAAAUCUCCUUCAACCAAAAAUCCCUAAUCUCUUCUUACGGCUCUCUCUCUCCGGCGAGCGGCGGCAAACGACGGCAUCGAGCAGCGUGUGACAAAUACGAAGUUCCUCAUUUCUUCUCUCUCUUCUAGACCCUUCGAAGCCUCCUCGCCUUCCAAGUUUGUACAAAACACCGCGGUUUCAUCUAAGUACGAGCAAGAACAGGACCUAUUGAGCGAUGCAGAGGAACCCAGUGUUUGGAGUAAGGGGCAGAGGAUUUUAUAGUGAAACCUGUUAAAUGAUCAGACAUGAAACGUUUGAAAGAUAAGUCUUCGAUGAUGAUGAUGUUCAUGUUCUUGUGAAGUCACUGCAGUGGAUGGUGGAAGGAGAGCUCUGCAAUAUCUAGGAUUGGAUGAUGAGGAAAAGAGCUAUGUUUGGAGAGUGAUUUGGUUGAAUUGGAGACUACAGUGGAACCCACAUGGCCAAAGUUGGUUGAGCCGUUAGAGAAGAUCCUAGACCGACUAUGGAUCGUUUGGGGGAUUGUGAAUCAUUUGAAUGCUGUCAAGGAUUCUCCUGAACUCCGUUCUGCCAUCACAGAAGUUCAGCCAGAGAAGGUUGAGUUUCAGUUAAGGGUGGGCCAGAGCAAACCCAUUUAUAAUGCAUUUAAAAAAAUCCGAGAAUCUUCAGAUUGGGAAACAUUGAGUGAUGCCUGUAAACAAAUAGUGGAAGGCUGAUGUUUGUCAUGCCUAUCAACUCCUGAAGAAAGGUGGGCUUAAAGAUGAAAACAUCAUUGUUUUCAUGUAUGAUGACAUGGCUCAAAAUGAAGAGAACCCCAGGCCUAGAAUCAUAAUCAACAGUCCCCAUGGUGAUGAUGCAUUAGGUCAAUUUUAAAUUAAGGAAAUUGUAUUCUUUCUUUCUCAUUUGGUGGGCUUUUGUUUGAGCAGGAUUAUACCGGGGAAAAUGUCACUGUUAACAACUUCUUUUCUGUUACCCUUGGACAUAAGACUGCUCUUACAGGGGAAGUGGAAAGAUUGUGGAUAGUGGUCCAAAUGACCAUAUUUUCAUAUUUUACAGUGAGCAUGGGGGCCCUUGGGUGCUUGAUUGAUUUUUGAUAACGUUUGGAAGCAUACUUGCAAAUCAAGAUUGAAUUUUUUUUUCCC